rnacentral:lncRNA from 1 species
AUUGCAAGGGCAUUUACUUGUUCUGUUCAGCUACAGGACAACGCAUGGAAUCAACCAGUUAAAAUGAAAGUGCAGCCUUUCGAAGACAUCCUCACUUCCUUCAGAUAUGUGGGAUUCACAGAAUGACCACUCACAAACUCCCGUCCCUUCGAAGGACAGCAUCCUCCCAGAUACCCAAAACUGGCCAUGUUGCAGCCACUCAGAGAUAACAGGCUUAGGGUAAAAGACAGUGCUCUCCUGACAUCACUCUUCUGUGUCAAACAGAGUAAUGCAGUGAACAUGAUGAUAGCAAGCUACAGGAAGAGCCACCAGUCAGAAUGAAAAGAAUGGCAUCCAGUGGACCAAAAUUCACACGCUGUGUGAUCCUAAGUGUAACUAGGAAGCAACGAGUACCACCCACUUGAUAUAAUUUUUACAUAUUACUCUUCUCUUGCAGAUUUCGGCCCCUCCUUUCUUAAGCUACCAUUAGAUUGUGGGUCUAAUGCAGACCUGGGAGUCUCCAACCCUUUAGGGGGUCGUAUAUCAGAUAACCUGCAUGUCAAAUAUUUUCACUAUAAUUCUUAAGAGUAGCAAAAUCAAUAGGUUGGGUUGCCACAACAUGAGGAGCAAGUGGGUCACAGCAUCAGAAAGGUUGAGGGCCACUGGCACAGAGGGUCUCUUAUUUGAGGCAGGCCCUCCAUCAAUCCAAAACAGACUGCUGGGCUCAUCAACAGAAAUGUCACAGUUCUGGCGGCUGAGGAAUUCGUGAUCAAGAUUACGGAAGAAUCAGUAUACAGUGAAGCCCCACUUCCUGUCAGAAGCUAUGCUUUCCUCCUGUGUCCUCAUACAGUGGGAAGGCAAGCCACCUCCCAGCGAAUGCUGCCACAAUGCCGCCGACUAAAUCAACAAGUCUUUGACUCAUAACUCCAGUGUCUUUUGCCAUCAUGUUACCAGUGCUAUUUUAAUACAGGAAACUCUGAGGAACAUAAACACUCAGACCAGAGUACGCUGGGUGUUCCUUUAUGACCUAUAUAGAUUUUAAAAUCACUUUGCGUUUCUGAUUUCUAAGUUUCAUAUGUACCUUCUACCUAGCCUGUAAAUGCAAUCUAAGGUACUAGCAAAAUCACAUAUAUGAAAUGCUUUGAACAGUCUAAACAUGCAUAAAAGUUACUUCUUCAACUUAAGUAUGCAUGAAGUGAUUAAAACACACACACUCAUGCAGCCCCGCUAUCCCAGCAUUUAUUUAGUCUUCAAACUCUUACAGAGUUUCUUUUUUUCUUUUUUCUUUUUUUGUUUGUUUGUUUGGGGUUUGUUUGUUUGUUUGUUUUAUUUUGUUUUGUUUUCCAGGACAGCCAGGGCUACACAGUGAAACCCUGUCUCAAAAAAAAAAAAACAAGCAAGUAAACAAACAAACAAACAAACAAACAAACAAACAAACAAUAAAUAAAUAAAUAAAUAAAUAAAUAAAAGCGUUCUUGCUAGGAUUGGGAAUGAGAUAAGAGAAUAAGGAGAACUGAGGAUAAGAAGCAAGAAGAAAUGAGUCACCAUUCAUAGAACUAGGAAAUAUUACAAAAAUAAAUGCAAAAAUAAAUGAUAACCAAAGACACUAGAAAUGCAAUACAGAGACUACACCUCUGAAAUGCCUUUUAAACACCUACAUAUCAAGUAGGUAUGUUAAUGGAUGAGUCUAUAGACCAAGGGAGCAAUCUGUACGACAAUGUAGAUUUGGCGAAGUCAACAACCAGAUGGUGCAGUGUGCUAUUAAACCAGAAGCAGUCAAUCAAGAGUAUCAGGUGAGAAACUAGGAAGUUCUGAAUAACAUCAAGGGAGAGAUGUGAGGAGGAGCCAUCAAAGGAUGCUGGGCAGGAAGAUCAAGGGGAAAUAAUGACAGUCAUGUUUGCUGGUGUCCUAGAAGCCCAGAGAAGAAUGAGUUUUGGAGCAAGAAAUUGGUGGAGCAGAACCAAUAUCAUGAGGUAUGAUCAGAUGAACAGUGACCCGCAGAGGCUGACGAGAUGACUGUGAAGGCACUUGCAACAAGACACUAGUGACCUGGAUUCCAUCCAAAGUGUCUCCAUAAAGUUAGAAAGAACAAACUCACAGGUUCCCUCUGAUUUCCACAGGUGCAUUCUGGUUCUCCAAAAGAACACUGCCUGCCCUUCACCUGAUAGCCAUGUCUCUGUACACUGCAAAGUCUUUUAUUUGCAGUUUCAGUCUUCAUAAUCAACCAGCCAGUCAGUUCUGAAAGACAUGACAAGACACUUCUUUACCAAGCAGCUCAGUCUUGAAUUUCAACCUAGGCUUGCACAGAUAUCAAGAGGGGUAUGUCUACACAUAGCUCCAUGUGUUCCCUGACAGUGUUUCCACCUGGAUAAAUGCAAUCGUUACCUAAGGAAGCUGUCUUAGCUAGGGUUUUAUUGCUGUGAAGGGUCAUCAUGCCCACAGCCACCCUUAUAAAGGAAAAUAUUCAAUUUGAGUCUGGCUUACAGUUUCAGAGGUUUCACCCAUUGUCACCAUGGCAGAAAGCAUGGCAGUGUGCAGGCAGAUGUGGUACUGGAAAAUGAGCUGAGAGUUCUACAUCUGGAUCUGCAGGCAAUAGGGUGAGACAGAGACACACUAGGCCUAACUUGUGCUUCUGGAAUCUCCAAGCCUAGUCCCGGUGACAUAGUUCCUCCAAUAAGGUCACAACUACUCCAUCAACACCACAUCUCCUAAUACUGCCACUCCCUAUAGCCAAGCAUUCAAACACAUGAAUCUAUGGGGGCCGUUCCUAUUCAAACCACCACAGGAGGCUUCUUCUAAUUGUUGUCAAGAACUAUCACAUGCCUUGUUUAGCCUUCUAGAAAUCUUACAUGUUUUUCUUACCAUUCAUUUUUUAAUUUAAAUCACUCUCAAAUAUCUCAAGAAUGUCAUGCAAAAACUCUGCUUCUGGGUUCAAACCUGUACAUUGCUGUCAUUGGGUUGGUUGGUUGCCUGCCUUUUAUGUAGCCUUAAAAGAAGAAGGUGUGUUUCUGUAAGCCAGUAACUUCUUAGUCCAUCCCCUCCCCCUCUCCCUCUCACUCUCCCUCUCAUAUAUAUGAAGGUCACUGUUUCUGUCAAAUAUAUAUAUUUGAGAGCCAAUCCAGAUAAUCAUUUUUGUAAACAAUAAAAAUUCAUGAAAGC